rnacentral:rRNA from 1 species
GACGAACCGUCCAAACGUUAUUCGGAAUUACUGGGCUUAAAGGGUGCGUAGGCGGCUUGUUGCGUCGUCCGUGAAAACCCGGGGCUCAACUCCGGGCUUGCGGGCGAUACGGGCAGGCUAGAGUUCGGUAGGGGAGACUGGAAUUCCGGGUGGAGUGGUGAAAUGCGUAGAUAUCCGGAGGAACACCAAUGGCGAAGGCAGUGUCCUGGGAAGUACCUGACGCUCAGGUGCGAAAGCUAGGGGAGCGAACGAG